rnacentral:lncRNA from 1 species
AGGUUUGUACAGACUCUUCACUUCAGUUAAAGCUAGUGAAGAAUUUGUGAUUCACAGUCAGAUAUUACAAUUGGAAACCAAGUCAAUGAGUGAAGAAAACUUCAUGAUCAUCUAAAUGUUGAUAUACCAGAAGGAAAGUUUUCUAAAGUGCCUAGGAGGCCUUUUGCCCAAUACAGGGACUCAUCAGACUGGCUGGGAUAAACAGACGUGAAAUUGUCGUUCAUAAUUAGAUGUUACAAUUGGAAACCAAAUCACUGAAUGGAGAAACAUUUUGUAAAUAUAUAGAUGCUUCUAAACCAGAAAAAAUGGUUUCAGCUGGUAAGCUGUGAAUAAAAGAUCAGAGUGAGAAUUUUGAUUAUACAAUAUAUUUGUUAAAGGUAUUCUGAUUUUAUAUGUAAAUAGUUAUAUUUAUCUUCAUAUAUGUUUUUCUUUUUGUGCACAACUAAUGCUGAAAAGACAUCUUUGCAAAAAUAAGGUUUUUAUUUCCUUAAAAAAUACAAGUAAAGAAAGAUAUUUAGGCUAUUAUCGGGGGGGGGGGGUAAUCGUUCUCUGGCAUAAAAGUAAACCUAAGGUUCAUUGUGUUAGUGAAAUGGAAAAAUAAAUAUUAAUAUUAUAUUGUAAGGAUCAAAAG